AGCGAACGCUGGCGGCAGGCCUAACACAUGCAAGUCGAACGAAGUCUUCGGACUUAGUGGCGGACGGGUGAGUAACACGUGGGAACGUGCCUUUAGGUUCGGAAUAACUCAGGGAAACUUGUGCUAAUACCGAAUGUGCCCUUCGGGGGAAAGAUUUAUCGCCUUUAGAGCGGCCCGCGUCUGAUUAGCUAGUUGGUGAGGUAAAGGCUCACCAAGGCUACGAUCAGUAGCUGGUCUGAGAGGAUGACCAGCCACAUUGGGACUGAGACACGGCCCAAACUCCUACGGGAGGCAGCAGUGGGGAAUCUUGCGCAAUGGGCGAAAGCCUGACGCAGCCAUGCCGCGUGGAUGAUGAAGGUCUUAAGAUUGUAAAAUCCCUUCACCGGUGAAGAUAAUGACUGUAGCCGGAGAAGAAGCCCCGGCUAACUUCGUGCCAGCAGCCGCGGUAAAAC
rnacentral:rRNA from 1 species